rnacentral:rRNA from 1 species
GACGUAGGGGGCAAGCGUUACCCGGAAUUACUGGGCGUAAAGGGAGCGUAGGCGGGAGGUCAAGUCCGGUGUGAAAGACCCUGGCUCAACCAGGGAUGAGGGCUGGAAACUGACAAUCUUGAGUACAGCAGAGGAAGAGGGAAUUACCGGUGUAGGGGUGAAAUCCGUAGAGACCGGUAAGAAGGCCAGUGGCGAAGGCGCUUUUCUGGGCUGUUACUGACGCUGAGGCUCGAAAGCCAGGGGAGCAAACCGGAUUAGAUACCCGGGUAGUCCUGGCCGUAAACGAUGCUCACUAGGUGUGGGGCGCAUAGCGUGCUCUGCGCUGAAGCAAACGCAAUAAGUGAGCCGCCUGGGGAGUACGUCCGCAAGGAUGAA